GAGUAACGCGUAUCCAACCUGCCCAUCACUUGGGGAUAACCUUGCGAAGUAAGACUAAUACCCAAUGACGUCUCUAGAAGACAUCUGAAAGAGAGUUAAAGAUUUAUCGGUGAUGGAUGGGGAUGCGUCUGAUUAGCUUGUUGGCGGGUAACGGCCCACCAAGGCGACGAUCAGUAGGGGUUCUGAGAGGAAGGUCCCCCACAUUGGAACUGAGACACGGUCCAAACUCCUACGGGAGGCAGCAGUGAGGAAUAUUGGUCAAUGGGCGAGAGCCUGAACCAGCCAAGUAGCGUGAAGGAUGACUGCCCUAUGGGUUGUAAACUGCUUUUAUAAGGGAAUAAAGUGGGAGUCGUGACUCUUUUUGCAUGUACCUUAUGAAUAAGGACCGGCUAAUUCCGUG
rnacentral:rRNA from 1 species